AUACGGCGGUGAAGUUAGUUUUAGGUUGGAUAUAUUUUCCUGUAAAUACGGCGGUGAAGUUAGUUUUAGGUUGGAUAUAUUUUCCUGUAAAUACGGCGGUGAAGUUGGUUUCAGGUUGGAUAUAUUUUCCUGUAAAUACGGCGGUGAAGUUAGUUUUAGGUUGGAUAUAUUUUCCUGUAAAUACGGCGGUGAAGUUAGUUUCAGGUUGGAUAUAUUUUCCUGCAAAUACGGCGGUGAAGUUAGUUUUAGGUUGGAUAUAUUUUCCUGUAAAUACGGCGGUGAAGUUAGUUUCAGGUUGGAUAUAUUUUCCUGUAAAUACAGCGGUGAAGUUAGUUUCAGGUUGGAUAUAUUUUCCUGUAAAUACGGCAGUGAAGUUAGUUUUAGGUUGGAUAUAUUUUCCUGUAAAUACGGCGGUGAAGUUAGUUUCAGGUUGGAUAUAUUUUCCUGUAAAUACGGCGGUGAAGUUAGUUUCAGGUUGGAUAUAUUUUCCUGUAAAUACGGCGGUGAAGUUAGUUUCAGGUUGGAUAUCUGACGGACAUUCUCUGAGGAUCUACCGGUGUCUUCUCUCUCUCCAUAACCGGGAAUAACAACAGCAGCGCGGUUAAAUCUACUCGACACCCUCACUGUCAACGUCGGUGUUGAAUAAGGGACCGUCAAUAAAUUACCGGUUGAUGUUCUUAGAAAAGGCUGUUUUCCUUCAAUAGCUUCACUGUCAUGUGACCAAAAGACCUAAAACUGAUUUCUAAUAAUAGUACUAAGGUCGAUCAAUAAGACAAACAUUAUUGAUCAGUUUUCAUUGAUCCCCUAAAGUUCUUUGUGCUCCUUACUUUUUUAACUCAGGAGAACAUGUGAACAAAGUUUGAGUCAAACCCUGAUAUCUGAGGACAAACUCCCCCCAACACACACACACACACACGUGUCCACCUGUGAAUUAGAGCUCACACAGAGUCCAAACUUUGCUCUCCAGAAUCGAUCAGAGAUGAAAACCACAAACAUCCUUAUCAGCAGGAAGAGAGCGGCGCCGACCCAAUCAGAGCCGCUGACCCGCUUCUUCUUCACUUUGGGUCACUAAUGAGGUCAUGAACACAGAGCAUGAUCCACACAUGUUCAGCAGGUGGGACCAGGUUCAGGUGAGAGAGAGAGAGAGAGAGAGGGAGAGAGCGCAGCGAUGGGCGAGUGACAUAGAGGUGAAGCUAAGAGAGCGAGUGAUGAAAACGAAGCAGAGAGAGGGAAAUGGAGGAGUCCGUACAGACGCUGAUUAAAGACACAAAAACUCACUCUCAUUAAUUUACCAUGUCUCGUUUACAGCACAGCCAGCCAAUCAGAGAGGGUUGUGGGCGGGGCAUCAGGAGACAUGGUGGCGCUGAAGCCGAUCAUCAGUCUACCUUUACUAAAAACGAAAUGUUAUCGGAGUGUAGGAGUCACAUGACUGUUACUCCUCUAAAGAAUAAACUAGAAUAUGAACCUUUGUUAAAUGAGUCAGGGUCGCUCUGACAGUCACAGGUGUGUUUGAGUGAACUUUGACCUUUUUUCCAUCAGCGUGGCGGUACUUCUGUGUUUGAAAUGUCCCACAGUAACUGCAGAGCUGUGCUCCUCAGGGUUUCUCAGAUCUUUGACAGGUCAGCUGAUUCUUGUUCCUCCUCUUUACAUUUUAUUUUUCAGGAAAUCAAACUGACUCAGACUUUUCCUUAAAUUACAUUUUCUUCUUUUUGAAACUAUCUGAUGUUUUUAUUUCUGUCUCAUUUUAUGUUGAAUGGUUCUUGUGUUGUCUCGGUUCUUUAUGACAAGAAAAUGACCUUUAUUUCUGUUUUAAAUGAGUUUUUUCAUGUUCUUUAUGUCAAAACACUUAAUAAACUUCUGUUUUUAAAAGUGCUGUAAAAAUAAAGUUAUUAUUAUUAUUAUUAUUAUUAUGAUUGAAUGUGUAAAACUUCUUGUCAGUAAACCUGGAGUAACUAAUGUGAUGAAUGGUCCCAGUAUUGGUCUCUUCCUCUCCCUGCAGUGAUUUACAGCUCACUGUUUUGAGUGACAGAGGAAUCUCAGCUCCUCUCUCCUCACUAACCCCUUCAGGUGAAGCACCUGAGAUGAACUAUUUGAGGUGUAAACAUGAACUGAAAUAACCGCCGCCGCCGCAGUUCCUCUCAGGUAGAUUGACAGGGCGGUGAGUCAGCCCUGCCCACAGACAUCAUGUACAGGACUGGAGGCGUGUACAGAGCAGCGCUGUCAGUCUGGUUGUGUCAUGUCAGGUCACAUACAGUGAAAUACCAUCUCGCUAAACGCCUCGUAAAUUCUUUUAACGAUGACACAGCAGGUAAGGGCAGAGACAGUGAAAUAACUACCUGUUCAGGUGCACAACUCUUCAUGAGACUGCUACGACAAUUCACCAACGUCUCAGGAGGAGGUCUAACAGUCCUGCAGAGACCCAGGAUCAGGUCCACACACCUGGUCCCGGUCUCUAGCUGUGCUUCAGAACCACACAACAGAUGAGAAAAUAAAAACGUGGACAUACUGCAGACCAAGUGUCUGAUGUAUUUAGAUAAAGGUCAUAAUAACCAUCGAUCCAUGUAAGAUUACAGGUCCAGUUAACUGAAGACUCACCUCUGAAUAUUUGCUCCAGUCUGAGUCUGUAGUCUCUUUAAUGUCAGUUCUGACCCGGUUCUUCAGAACCCUCUUUCCUGGUUCUGUUAGUCACUCUGAUGUGUUCACACUUAUAAUCGGUUUUAUUUCCAUUCAGUUCAACUCAAAACACUUCAACACAGAUUUACACUGUCUGAUGAAGUGGAAGUUAAACCUCAGAAACACAAAUUAAAAACGUUCAUUCAGAUUUAGAGCCUCAUCAUAUCGUUGCAUUCACGUGCUGUCUGAAAAUCGGAGAAUAGAGCUUCAGAAACGGGAAAUAUGUAAACUUGAAAACUUGAAACCUGGAGGGAAAACGAACUGGGAAGACCCUCUGUUUCUGUUCCACCAGUUUGACCAGUUAACAAUACCAACCUGAUUUUACAGGUAUAGAAAGUACACGUUAGCCUGGUGAUCAAUAACUGCAAUGGUUCGACUAUUUGUCGUUGAAAAAGGCUUCUUCAUUAUUUCUUUGAGUCCAGGUAAUGUUUUCUUACUCAGCUCUGAAAGAAAAACAACAACACACCUUUCUUUUUCCACCACAGCUGUCUGAAAAUUAGGAUUACAAAGCUCAACGUCGGAAAACGACACCCAAAGUGG
rnacentral:lncRNA from 1 species